rnacentral:rRNA from 1 species
CUGGCUCAGGACGAACGCUGGCGGCGUGCUUAACACAUGCAAGUCGAACGAUGAAGCCCAGCUUGCUGGGUG